UACGGGGGGGGCAAGCGUUGUUCGGAAUUACUGGGCGUAAAGGGCUUGUAGGUGGCCAACUAAGUCAGACGUGAAAUCCCUCGGCUUAACCGGGGAACUGCGUCUGAUACUGGAUGGCUUGAGUGUGGGAGAGGGAUGCGGAAUUCCAGGUGUAGCGGUGAAAUGCGUAGAGAUCCGGAGGAACACCAGAGGCGAAGGCGGCCUACUGGGCUGCACCUGACGCUGAGCCGCGAAAGCCAGGGGAGCGAACGGG
rnacentral:rRNA from 1 species